CUGAGAGGAUGACCAGCCACACUGGAACUGAGACACGGUCCAGACUCCUACGGGAGGCAGCAGUGGGGAAUAUUGCACAAUGGGCGCAAGCCUGAUGCAGCCAUGCCGCGUGUAUGAAGAAGGCCUUCGGGUUGUAAAGUACUUUCAGCGGGGAGGAAGGGAGUAAAGUUAAUACCUUUGCUCAUUGACGUUACCCGCAGAAGAAGCACCGGCUAACUCCGUGCCAGCAGCCGCGGUAAUACGGAGGGUGCAAGCGUUAAUCGGAAUUACUGGGCGUAAAGCGCACGCAGGCGGUUUGUUAAGUCAGAUGUGAAAUCCCCGGGCUCAACCUGGGAACUGCAUCUGAUACUGGCAAGCUUGAGUCUCGUAGAGGGGGGUAGAAU
rnacentral:rRNA from 1 species